rnacentral:rRNA from 1 species
CCCUACGGGGGGCAGCAGUGGGGGAUAUUGCACAAUGGGGGGAACCCUGAUGCAGCGACGCCGCGUGGGUGAAGAAGCGCCUCGGCGCGUAAAGCCCUGUCAGCAGGGAAGAAAAUGACGGUACCUGAAGAAGAAGCCCCGGCUAACUACGUGCCAGCAGCCGCGGUAAUACGUAGGGGGCAAGCGUUAUCCGGAUUUACUGGGUGUAAAGGGGGCGCAGACGGCGACGCAAGCCAGGAGUGAAAGCCCGGGGCCCAACCCCGGGACUGCUCUUGGAACUGCGUGGCUGGAGUGCAGGAGGGGCG